rnacentral:rRNA from 1 species
UAAGCAGAGUAUGAAAAUAUCACGGCUCAACCGUGAAAACGUAUUCUGAACUGACAAACUAGAGGAUGAGAGAGGUUAUUGGAAUUUCUUGUGUAGGAGUGAAAUCCGUAGAUAUAAGAAGGAACACCGGAUGGCGUAGGCAGAUAACUGGCUCAUACCUGACACUGAGGCACGAAAGCGUGGGGAGCGAACGGGAUUAGAUACCCCGGUAGUCCACGCCGUAAACGAUGGAUGCUA